rnacentral:rRNA from 1 species
CNUNAGGGUAAGCUGUUUUCCUGNNNAAAAAGCAGGGAGAGUAAGGGCUGGGUAAGACGGGUGCCAGCCGCCGCGGUAAUACCCGCAGCCCAAGUGGUGCUCGUUAUUAUUGGGCCUAAAACGUCCGUAGCCGGACCAGUAAAUUCUUGGGUAAAUCGAACAGCUUAACUGUUCGAAUUCCGAGGAGACUGCUGGUCUUGGGACUGGGGGAGGCUAGAGGUACUCCCGGGGUAGGGGUGAAAUCCUGUAAUCCUGGGGGGACCACCAGUGGCGAAGGCGUCUAGCUAGAACAGCUCCGACGGUAAGGGACGAAGCCUUGGGGCACAAACGGGAUUAGAUACCCCGGUAGUCCAAGGUGUAAACGCUGUAG